AAAGAUGAAUUAUUGAAAAAAAAAUCUGAUUAUUACUUACAACCAUUGCUCAUUUCCAAUAAAUUACAUGGCUAUGACUCCAAUGCACCAUUACCCACCCCUCAAACAGAUGCAUACACGACACCUACAGUUUCUUUACCUGAAGUUGCUGUUGAACCAUCAACACAGAAAUUAAAAGAUGCUGGUUCUUACGAAAGGCUAGCAGACGAUACCUCUCCACGAAAAGGAGCAUCUUAUAAGAAUGAAGACGCAAUAAGAUUAGAAAAUGACAGCGACAAAUCACAACAACACUAAAGAUGUUCAACAGCCUGAGAAGAUAGAGUCCAUUGUUUGAAGCAUAUUGUUUACAUUAUUUUGUGAAUUGGAAACGAAGAUACGUAGGAACUGCCAAUUGAAGAAUUUUAAGAAUUGCAAAAUAUCACCUUCUUAUAUUUUGUUGAAAAUCAACAAUUUGGUAAACUUUCUGAAAUCGUUAACACCACAGGUGAAGGAAAGCUAAGUUAUUUGGACGGACUUACCUUUCUUAAAACCCAUGUAAAUCUCAAACUUACAUGGUUGGCACAAUACAAGUCUAUACAUCAUGAUUAACACAAUGUAAGUUUCUACACCAUGGUUGGCAAAAUGCAAGUUUCUUCUAGACCAUGGUUGGCACAAUGCAAGUUUAUACAUCAUGAUUAACACAAUUUAAGUUUCUACAUCAUGUUUGGCACAAUGCAAGUCUAUACAUCAUGAUUAACACAAUUUAAGUUUCUACAUCAUGUUUGGCACAAUGCAAGUCUAUACAUCAUGAUUAACACAAUGUAAAUUUCUACACCAUGGUUGGCACAAUGCAAGUUUCGUCUACACCAUGGUUGG